GCGAGAGUGGUGAAAUUGGCAGACACGCUAGAUUUAGGAUCUAGUGCCGUACGGCGUAAGGGUUCAAGUCCCUUCUCUCGCACUA
rnacentral:tRNA from 1 species